UGAACGCUGGCGGCAUGCCUUACACAUGCAAGUCGAGCGGCAGCACGGGUGCUUGCACCUGGUGGCGAGUGGCGAACGGGUGAGUAAUACAUCGGAACAUGUCCUGUAGUGGGGGAUAGCCCGGCGAAAGCCGGAUUAAUACCGCAUACGAUCUACGGAUGAAAGCGGGGGACCUUCGGGCCUCGCGCUAUAGGGUUGGCCGAUGGCUGAUUAGCUAGUUGGUGGGGUAAAGGCCUACCAAGGCGACGAUCAGUAGCUGGUCUGAGAGGACGACCAGCCACACUGGGACUGAGACACGGCCCAGACUCCUACGGGAGGCAGCAGUGGGGAAUUUUGGACAAUGGGCGAAAGCCUGAUCCAGCAAUGCCGCGUGUGUGAAGAAGGCCUUCGGGUUGUAAAGCACUUUUGUCCGGAAAGAAAUCCUUGGCUCUAAUACAGUCGGGGGAUGACGGUACCGGAAGAAUAAGCACCGGCUAACUACGUGCCAGCAGCCGCGGUAAUACGUAGGGUGCGAGCGUUAAUCGGAAUUACUGGGCGUAAAGCGUGCGCAGGCGGUUUGCUAAGACCGAUGUGAAAUCCCCGGGCUCAACCUGGGAACUGCAUUGGUGACUGGCAGGCUAGAGUAUGGCAGAGGGGGGUAGAAUUCCACGUGUAGCAGUGAAAUGCGUAGAGAUGUGGAGGAAUACCGAUGGCGAAGGCAGCCCCCUGGGCCAAUACUGACGCUCAUGCACGAAAGCGUGGGGAGCAAACAGGAUUAGAUACCCUGGUAGUCCACGCCCUAAACGAUGUCAACUAGUUGUUGGGGAUUCAUUUCCUUAGUAACGUAGCUAACGCGUGAAGUUGACCGCCUGGGGAGUACGGUCGCAAGAUUAAAACUCAAAGGAAUUGACGGGGACCCGCACAAGCGGUGGAUGAUGUGGAUUAAUUCGAUGCAACGCGAAAAACCUUACCUACCCUUGACAUGGUCGGAAUCCCGCUGAGAGGUGGGAGUGCUCGAAAGAGAACCGGCGCACAGGUGCUGCAUGGCUGUCGGCAGCUCGUGUCGUGAGAUGUUGGGUUAAGUCCCGCAACGAGCGCAACCCUUGUCCUUAGUUGCUACGCAAGAGCACUCUAAGGAGACUGCCGGUGACAAACCGGAGGAAGGUGGGGAUGACGUCAAGUCCUCAUGGCCCUUAUGGGUAGGGCUUCACACGUCAUACAAUGGUCGGAACAGAGGGUUGCCAACCCGCGAGGGGGAGCUAAUCCCAGAAAACCGAUCGUAGUCCGGAUUGCACUCUGCAACUCGAGUGCAUGAAGCUGGAAUCGCUAGUAAUCGCGGACCAGCAUGCCGCGGUGAAUACGUUCCCGGGUCUUGUACACACCGCC
rnacentral:rRNA from 1 species